UUAUAAACCUUUUAUUUUGUGAAUUUCAAAAUCUAUUUCUCUCUUUCCUUAUUCCUCUCGGAUUAAAGUCUUUUCUCUUUUCCAUUGUUUUGAAUAUUUUUUUUCCUAAGAUCUAAGGUUUUAACUUUUCAUUUGCCGACUUCACCGAAACUAAAACUCAAGUAAUGACCCAAUAUUGGAAUCAUACUUGAUGGUUUAGAACCCUAUUCCAUUUUCAAAAACUUUUCUAUUUUCAUAAAGGGCUCGUUUGAUUCACUGGAAAUAUACUGUUGAACAAGAAAUAUGUUUUAAAUAUUUAAAAUAUUUCCAUUUCAUCAAAUGUGCAAAUAUUUUUUGUAACGUUGAAGACAUUUCAGAAAAAAAUUUCCGGAAACAUCUUUCCACCGUGAGAGGUGGAAAGAUAUUUUCUGUUUUUUUUUUUGCCCGUUAGGGCAUGCAAAGGCCAUCUUCUUGUCCUCAGCUGCUUCACCCCACCCACGAGAGAGAGAGGAAUGCUGCUCCUGCUGUUGCUGCCUUCCUUCGUUGCUGCUGCCUCAGAUGCAUCCGUCGUCCCUCUCACCCUCUCAUUCUCUUGCUGUUGGAUCUGGAAAAGUUGCCUCAAGAAACAUCAUCAACUCCUUGCAAGGGCUGAAAAUCAAAUGGGUACUAGCAUCAGUUCUACAAGUAAGCAAAACUUAUGGAACCAUAUGCGCGUUGACAACAACUGUGUUUCAUCUUGGCUUGGUUAAUCCUUACUAUAUUGCUCUAAUAUAUAGUGAAGUGCUUCAAUGCUUUCAGAUAUGGAGGGUCAUUACAAAUUUUUUAUUCCUUGUUAAGUUCACUAUUAAUUAUGGAAUCAUCUCGAUGAUGCAUUUUCCAUUGUUCUGCAGAUGAUGCCAUUUUUCCUAGGAGUAUCACUGGUUUUCAUGCUUUUGUAUGUAUGGAGUAGAGCAUAUCUAAAUGGUCAAAUUAACAUAUAUGGCCUUGUUACUCUAAAGGCUUUUUAUCUGCCCUGGAUAGUACUAGCGUUGGACGUCAUCUUUGGAUCUCCUUUGCUUCCACAUCUAAUGGGGAUUGUUGCAGGUCAUCAUUAUUACUUCUUAACUGUGCUCCAUCCAUCCGUUGGAGGGAGAAACCCUUAAGUUUUUUUUUUUUUCCUUGAAAAAUGGAGGGGCCUGUAGCGGUGACAAUAGUCACUACUAAACAUACCAUUUCCACGUAACAGACCAUAUUGCCAACAACUUCCACCCUCGCCAACAAAGUGGCAAGUAUUGCCAAUAACAUUAUUGGCAACGGCAGCCUGGAUUAUCCCCUACGGUGAGGGUCAUUGCCUAUGAUGUUAUUCGCAACGACUUUGUGGCUAUUUGCAAUGGCCAAAUAACAAUGUUUGUAGUAGUGCAAACAAUUAUUUCGCAUCUUUGGAGCCAAUUCUGAUGGCAAAGC